GUCCACGCCGUAAACGAUGGAUACUAGCUGUUGGGGGCAACUUCAGUGGCUAAGCGAAAGUGAUAAGUAUCCCACCUGGGGAGUACGAACGCAAGUUUGAAACUCAAAGGAAUUGACGGGGGCCCGCACAAGCGGUGGAGCAUGUGGUUUAAUUCGAUGAUACGCGAGGAACCUUACCAAGGCUUAAAUGUAGAUUGACCGUUUUGGAAACAGAACUUUCGCAAGACAAUUUACAAGGUGCUGCAUGGUUGUCGU
rnacentral:rRNA from 1 species